GUGAACUAGAAAGAGAAAUAACUAGUCUAAUAGCGGUAAGAAUGGGAACAUAGAGGAAACCAUGAGCUAUCCGUUUGCGCCUCUAGAACCAAAGGUGGAUAUAUUUCUUAGUGUUUCCCAUGCCUACCAUUCCUAUUGUUCUUAGGUUCUCCUUUCCCUUCCUUUUUACC
rnacentral:pre_miRNA from 1 species